rnacentral:rRNA from 1 species
GAGUAAUGUAGAGGAAUCUCCCUAGCAGUAAGGAAUAACCCUGGGAAACCAGAGCUAAUGCCAUAUAUUACCGAUUGAUUUAUUUCAAUUGGGAAAGAUUUAUCGCUGUUAGAUGAGCCUCUAUCGGAUUAGCUUGUUGGUGGGGUAAUGGCCUACCAAGGCGAUGAUCCGUAGCUGGUCUUAGAGGAUGAUCAGCCACACUGGAACUGAGACACGGUCCAGACUCC